rnacentral:lncRNA from 1 species
AGGGUGGCAGAGCCCAGCCACCAGGGUCUGCUCCAUGCCUGGUCCCUGGAGAGGCCCUCACCCUCUCUGCUUUCACCCAACCCGACUGACACGGAGUAGGAGGUGGGAAUCAUGCAGGCAGGGAGCUUAGGAAGCCUGGUUCAAGCUCCUGUCCCGGCUCCCUAAGGUGUUCCCAGUUUGCGGAGGAUUACGUGCCCUCUCAGCCCAGUAGCACACUUUCCAAAUAAGCCAUCAGACUCCUCCCAAGAUCCUGAAACUGAGGCUCAGAGAGCAGAAGCAGCUUGGCCAAAGUCAUACAACUGGUAGUUGGUAAAGGAGCUGGCCUUGAACUCAGGGAUAUCUUGAAAGCCACUGUUGCUUCUAUGGACUCUAGCCAUUCAAAAGACCCCUCACCUUCUAUAAGACCCCAGGAGAUCCUCAGGGUCCAACUGCUCCCUUGAAAACAGGUCCCAGAUAUAUCUGCCAAAGGUAUGAUUAGGUGCCUAAACACAUACCAUGAGAAAGGGAUUCCAUGUCUUCCAAUCCUGCCCAGAGAUGCAGAGACACCACCACCCAGGGAGAGAUAGCCAGAAACUAAAAUAAGAUGUUAGAGACAGGUGGUUGAUAGUGACAGAUACAGCCACACCAAGACAGGCUCAAAGGGAGGAAGACUGAGGGGAAGCCAGAGACAGAGAGGGACACAUUAGGCCAAAGAAUGAGAGAGAUAGCUGGAAAAGGAGACAAUAGGAGUAGAGGAGGGUACAGGCUGACAUGAAAAAACACCGACAGAUACACUCCAGUAUGCAGACAGACACAUAUAGACCCAUCUGACCUUCACAAGAAACAGACUGUGAAAGCAAGCAAGGCUCAGGCUGUGUGUGGUGUGCGUAUGUGUGUGUGCGUAUUGUGGGGGGAGCAUGCAGAGUCUGUAUAGCUACGCACAUUACACCAGCUGCUUCCAGCAAUUUCAUCUGAUUAAUAAUAAAUGCCCCAUAAUUACAGCCG